rnacentral:misc_RNA from 1 species
GAAACCUCACCCUCAGUGAUGUCAAAGUCGCUCUGGGUGGACUUGGACCGUGCCGUAGAUGGCUCGUCCUGAAAUGCAUUAGCCUGGUCGUCGGACCGAAGGGCCACGGUGUGAUAAUUCCAUCUGCGCCGAUAAGUGCCCCCGGUGUAAUUCGACUGUUGACCGGCUCACAAUCGUCCGCGAGGACACUUUACUUGACA